AGUGAACGCUGGCGGUAGGCCUAACACAUGCAAGUCGAACGGCAGCACAGUAAGAGCUUGCUCUUACGGGUGGCGAGUGGCGGACGGGUGAGGAAUACAUCGGAAUCUACUUUUUCGUGGGGGAUAACGUAGGGAAACUUACGCUAAUACCGCAUACGACCUACGGGUGGAAGCAGGGGAUCUUCGGACCUUGCGCGAUUGAAUGAGCCGAUGUCGGAUUAGCUAGUUGGCGGGGUAAAGGCCCACCAAGGCGACGAUCCGUAGCUGGUCUGAGAGGAUGAUCAGCCACACUGGAACUGAGACACGGUCCAGACUCCUACGGGAGGCAGCAGUGGGGAAUAUUGGACAAUGGGCGCAAGCCUGAUCCAGCCAUACCGCGUGGGUGAAGAAGGCCUUCGGGUUGUAAAGCCCUUUUGUUGGGAAAGAAAAGCAGCAGGUUAAUACCCCGCUGUUCUGACGGUACCCAAAUAAUAAGCACCGGCUAACUUCGUG
rnacentral:rRNA from 1 species